rnacentral:tmRNA from 2 species
GGGGAUGACUUGGUAUCGAUUAGAGUAGUGAAUUUUAGUUGCAUGUCGGCCUGAACAUGCCGUUACGCGGUUCAUUUUUUUUAGACGCAAAUAAUACAAAUUACGCUCCAGCUUACGCUAAAGCUGCGUAAGUUUUAACAAACUUUGACUCGCCCUAAAGGCUUGAGUCUACGGAGACUUGCACUACAGAUUCUAUCUAUGUAGAUAAAUGCAGGUUCACAACAGAUAGAUUAUCUUUUAAAAAUUGAUUUGCUUUAAAAGAGAAAUUUUAAAUCUUAACUCUAUAUUUGCUUUUGGAAGUUGAGUUUAUAUUGAGUGACAUUUUUCAACUUUGCUAAACAUGUAGACGCUACUAUGAACUAUUUUAAGACUGCGGUUCGAUCCCGCACAUCUCCACCA